rnacentral:rRNA from 1 species
GCACGGGUGAGUACGCGUAUGUAACCUACCUAUAACAGGGGCAUAACACUGAGAAAUUGGUACUAAUUCCCCAUAAUAUUCGGAGAGGCAUCUCUCCGGGUUGAAAACUCCGGUGGUUAUAGAUGGACAUGCGUUGUAUUAGCUAGUUGGUGAGGUAACGGCUCACCAAGGCAACGAUACAUAGGGGGACUGAGAGGUUAACCC